rnacentral:rRNA from 1 species
UACCAGCACCCCGAGUGGUCGGGACGUUUAUUGGGCCUAAAGCAUCCGUAGCCGGUUCUACAAGUCUUCCGUUAAAUCCACCUGCUUAACAGAUGGGCCGCGGAGGAUACUAUAAGACUAGGAGGCAGGAGAGGCAAGCGGUACUCAGUGGGUAGGGGUAAAAUCCGUUGAUCCAUUGAAGACCACCAGUGGCGAAGGCGGCUUGCCAGAAUGCGCUCGACGGUGAGGGAUGAAAGCUGGGGGAGCAAACCGG